rnacentral:rRNA from 1 species
UACGGAGGGGGCGAGCGUUGUUCGGAAUCACUGGGCGUAAAGGGCGCGUAGGCGGCCACCGCAAGUCGACUGUGAAAUCUCCGGGCUUAACCCGGAAAGGUCAGCCGAUACUGCGGGGCUAGAGUGCAGAAGGGGCAACUGGAAUUCUCGGUGUAGCGGUGAAAUGCGUAGAUAUCGAGAGGAACACCUGCGGCGAAGGCGGGUUGCUGGGCUGACACUGACGCUGAGGCGCGAAAGCUAGGGGAGCGAACGGG